GUAAAUAAUAAAGGGCGUAUGGUGGAUGCCUAGGCUCUCAGAGGCGAUGAAGGACGUGAUAAGCUGCGAAAAGCUCCGUUUAGGUGCAAAUAACCUUUGAUGCGGAGAUCUCCGAAUGGGAUAACCCAAUAUGUUGAAGACAUAUUAUACCGUAAGGUAGGCAAACGCAGGGAACUGAAACAUCUAAGUACCUGCAGGAGAAGAAAACAAACGUGAUUCCCCCAGUAGCGGCGAGCGACCGGGGAAAAGCCCAAACCGUUAUUGUUUCGGCAUUAACGGGGUAGUAGGACUGCGACAUUGAUGAAAUAAAUGAAAUGGAACACCUUGGAAAAUGUGAUCACAGAGGGUGAUAAUCCCGUACAUGCAAGUUUAUGAAUCAUAGCAGACUCCUGAGUAAGUCGGGACACGUGUAAUCCUGACCGAAUCCGCCGGGACCAUCCGGCAAGGCUAAAUACUCCUGAGAGACCGAUAGUGAACCAGUACCGUGAGGGAAAGGUGAAAAGCACUUCGAACAGAAGAGUGAAAUAGUCCCUGAACCCAUACGCCUACAAGCUGUCGGAGCCGCUUCGUGCGGUGACGGCGUGCCUUUUGCAUAAUGAGCCUACGAGUUACUCAUCACCAGCGAGGUUAAGUACUUCAGGUACGUAAGCCGAAGCGAAAGCGAGUCUGAAUAGGGCGUCAAGUUGGUGGUGGUAGACGCGAAACCUUAGUGAUCUACCCAUGGGCAGGGUGAAGGUUUGGUAACACAAACUGGAGGCCCGAACCGGUAAACGUUGAAAAGUUUUCGGAUGACCUGUGGGUAGGGGUGAAAGGCCAAUCAAACUGGGAAAUAGCUCGUACUCUCCGAAAUGCAUUUAGGUGCAGCCUCUGUUGUUUUGUUCUAGAGGUAGAGCUACUGAUUGGAUGCGAGGGCUUCACCGCCUAUCAAAUCCGGCCAAACUCCGAAUGCUAGAACAUGAAGACAGGGAGUGAGCCAGCGGGUGCUAAGGUCCGUUGACGAAAGAGGGAGAACUCAGACCAUCAGCUAAGGUCCCCAAUUGUAUGCUAAGUUGGAAUUAAAACGGGGUGGGACUGCUUAGACAGCUAGGAUGUUGGCUUGGAAGCAGCCAUUCAUUUAAAGAGUGCGUAACAGCUCACUAGUCGAGCGGUCCUGCAUGGAUAAUACGCGGGCAUAAGCAUAUAACCGAAGCUAUGGGAUUGUAGAUGAUACAAUCGGUAGGAGAGCAUUCCAUUCAGCGUAGAAGCAGUAUCGUGAGGUAUUGUGGAGCGGAUGGAAAAGCAAAUGUAGGCAUAAGUAACGAUAAUGCGGGUGAGAACCCCGCACGCCGAAAGAUCAAGGAUUCCCCGGCAAUGUCAAUCAUCCGGGGGUAAGUCGGAUCCUAAGGGUAAGCCGAGUGGCGAUCCCGAUGGCAAACAGGUUAAUAUUCCUGUACUGAUCAUAACUGCGAUGCAGCGACGCAGAGGUGACACUGCUGCGUACUGACGGAAUAGUACGUUGAAACCCGUAUUCUUUGAUACCGGUAGUGAAGCACGCCGGUAGAGAUGAAAGGUGAUAGUACCGCAAUGCUUCGGUUGCGCGGAUAACGCAGGUAAGCUGACUGCCAAGAAAACCUGCUAAGCUUCAGGUAAUGAUCAUCCGUACUGUAAACGGACACACGUGAUCAGGUAGAAAAUACUAAGGCGCUCGAGAGAUUCAUGGUUAAGGAACUAGGCAAAAUGGUCCUGUAACUUCGGGAUAAAGGACGCUCUUGUGAAAGAGCCGCAGAUAAUAGGCCCAGGCGACUGUUUACCAAAAACACAUGGCUAUGCUAAUUCGCAAGAAGAUGUAUAUGGCCUGACACCUGCCCGGUGCCGGAAGGUUAAGAGGAGAGCUCAGAGGCAACUCGAAGGUUUGAAUUGAAGCCCCGGUAAACGGCGGCCGUAACUAUAACGGUCCUAAGGUAGCGAAAUUCCUUGUCGGGUAAGUUCCGACCUG
rnacentral:rRNA from 1 species